CCUACGGGUGGCUGCAGUCAAGAAUAUUCCUCAAUGGCCGAAAGGCUGAAGGAGCGACGCCGCGUGUAUGAAGACGCCCCUCGGGGUGUAAAGUACUUUUAACUGGGAAGAACAAAUGACGGUACCAGUUGAAUAAGGGGCUGCUAACCUCGUGCCAGCAGCAGCGGUAAUACGAGGGCCCCAAGCAUUAUCCGGAUUCAUUGGGCGUAAAGCGUCCGUAGACUGUUUGUCGCAUCUCCUGUUAAAUCACGAGGCUCAACCUCGUGGCCGCGGGAGAGAUGGAUAAACUAGAGACUGGAAGAGGCAAGCAGAAUUGCUGGUGUAGGGGUUAAAUCCGUUAAUAUCAGCAAGAAUACUCAAUGCGAAGGCAGCUUGCUAGGACAGUUCUGACGUUCAAGGACGAAAGCGUGGGGAGCGAAUGGGAUUAGAUACCCCAGUAGUC
rnacentral:rRNA from 1 species